GUGUCAGCAGCCGCGGUAAUACGAGAGGUCCUAGCGUUAAUCGGAAUCACUGGGCUUAAAGGGUGCGUAGGCGGGCCUGUAAGUGCUUUGUGAAAUCCCAUGGCUCAACCAUGGAAUUGCAGGGCAUACUGCAGGUCUUGAGGAAUCUAGAGGCCGGCGGAACGAUAGGUGGAGCGGUGGAAUGCGUAGAUAUCUAUCGGAACGCCAAAGGUGAAGACAGCCGGCUGGGGAUUUCCUGACGCUGAGGCACGAAAGCGUGGGGAUCAAACAGGAUUAGAAACCCUCGUAGUCC
rnacentral:rRNA from 1 species